GGGCCCGCACAAGCAGCGGAGCAUGUUGUUUAAUUCGACGCAACGCGAAGAACCUUACCAGGUCUUGACAUCCAAUUAAAGCCGCAGAGAUGCGGUGUGAGCUUGCUCAAAUUGAGACAGGUGGUGCAUGGUUGUCGUCAGCUCGUGUCGUGAGAUGUUGGGUUAAGUCCCGCAACGAGCGCAACCCUUGUUUUUAGUUACUAACGCGUAAAGGCGAGGACUCUAAAGAGACUGCCGGGGAUAACUCGGAGGAAGGUGGGGACGACGUCAAAUCAUCAUGCCCCUUAUGACCUGGGCUACAAACGUGCUACAAUGGCCGACACAAAGAGAAGCGAGCUUGUAAGAGUAAGCGGAUCUCAAAAAAGCGGUCUCAGUUCGGAUUGUGGGCUGCAACCCGCCCACAUGAAGUUGGAGUUGCUAGUAAUCGCGAAUCAGCAUGUCGCGGUGAAUACGUUCCCGGGCCUU
rnacentral:rRNA from 1 species